rnacentral:rRNA from 1 species
CCCUUAGAUGUCCGGGGCCGCACGCGCGCUACACUGAAGGAAUCAGCGUGGCUUUCUCCCUGACCCGAAAGGGUUGGGAAACCCGUUGAAUCUCCUUCGUGAUAGGGAUUGGGGCUUGAAAUUGUUCCCCAUGAACGAGGAAUUCCCAGUAAGCGCGAGUCAUAAGCUCGCGUUGAUUACGUCCCUGCCCUUUGUACACACCGCCCGUCGCUACUACCGAUUGAACGGUUUAGUGAGGGCCUCGGAUUGGUCUCGGCCCGCUCUUUACCGGGCGGCGCCGUUGGACGAGAAGACGCUCGAACUUGAUCGUUUAGAGGAAGUAAAAGUCGUAACA